rnacentral:rRNA from 1 species
AUCGAACGCUGGCGGCGUGGCUAAAACAUGCAAGUCGUACGCGAAAGUUUUCUUCGGAAAACGAGUAGAGUGGCGGCAGGGCGAGUAAUGCAUGGGUAACGUGCCUUGAGCACAGGGAUAGCUGUGGGAAACUGCAGGUAAUACCCGAUAAGACCCCAGUACCUUAUGGUACAGAGGUCAAAGGUGGGGAUCUCUUCGGAGACCUUCCGGCUCUUGAGCGGCCCAUGUCCUAUCAGCUAGUUGGUGAGGUAAUGGCUCACCAAGGCUUCGACGGGUACCGGGACUGAGAGGUUGACCCGGCGCAUUGGGACUGAGACACUGCCCAG